GGAUUAGAUACCCGGGUAGUCCACGCCGUAAACGUUGGGCGCUAGGUGUGGGGUCCCUUCCACGGGUUCCGUGCCGCAGCUAACGCAUUAAGCGCCCCGCCUGGGGAGUACGGCCGCAAGGCUAAAACUCAAAGGAAUUGACGGGGGCCCGCACAAGCGGCGGAGCAUGUGGCUUAAUUCGAUGCAACGCGAAGAACCUUACCAAGGCUUGACAUGUGCAGAAAUCCGGCAGAGAUGUCGGGUCCGCAAGGGCUGCGCACAGGUGGUGCAUGGUUGUCGUCAGCUCGUGUCGUGAGAUGUUGGGUUAAGUCCCGCAACGAGCGCAACCCUCGUUCUAUGUUGCCAGCGCGUUAUGGCGGGGACUCAUAGGAGACUGCCGGGGUCAACUCGGAGG
rnacentral:rRNA from 1 species